AAAUUUCAACACCACCAAAACUCUUUAUCUAUUUUCUCUAUUUCUUAGUUCAACCUUCCCCCACAAAAAUCCAAACCUUUAUAUUAAAAACUAGCAACCAGCGACAGAAUCUAGUAACCGAGAGAUGGAGAGAGAAACAAUUGAGCUCAGAUUCUGAAUAAGUAGGUCCUGAAUCAAAAGCUUGUGCCAGCUUCACCGACUCAAUCUUUCUCUUUCUCUCUUUUUUUAUCUCUGUCAAUAGCAGGUACCCAUUUCUUUGUUUACCCUAUUUUUAUUACGCUUUUGUAAAAAAUAAAAUUCCCCUUUUUGUUUGUGUUGUCGCUGGUUUUGUCUAAUCUCAUUAGGGUUUAUCAGUUUGCAGCUUAUUACGUCGUUUCAACACGAUUUUUGCUCUUUAAUGUGAAAAUAAUCAAUACCCAGAAGUGAAAGAUUUCAGCUUUACAUUGAUUCAGUGACGUUUAAAGUAAAUCCCAUUUUGUAGAUAUGGCUUUUGAUCAAAAUUCAAUACCAAAAGAUCUAAGGCCGAUAAAUAUAGCCAGAAAUGUUGCUGAAGAGCCCCGCAUUGUGGUUGCUUCAACUGCCAAUCAAGGGUUUUAUCCUAGCACGGUUCGUGAGCCUGGUAGCCCUAGGUCUAUACCUGUAUUUUAUCCAGCACUAGUUCCUGAUGCUGGCUUUGUAGGUGUAGGGUAUAGCAAUGCGGUGGCAGCUGCUCCAGAUGUGGCUCCUACCGUUUGGGGUUCACAUAUGCCCGUGGCAGUGGGUGUUGGGCAAGCAGGUGUUAAUCCGGUUGUUGGGUACACAUAUAAUCCCAAUUUAGGGACUAGGGUUGUUGGGAAUGCUGUUGAUCAGGCUGGUAGUGAAAUGGGGGCUGGGUUUGGUUAUAGUCAUAAUUUGGGGAAUAGGGUUGUUAGUGGUGGUAGUGAUAGCGAUCAGGUGAAUAACAAUGAUCUAGCUGUGGGUUGUGGUGUAAUUUCUAAUUUGGGAAAUAGGGGUAGUGGUAAUGGGAUAGAUCAAGCUAGUGAUGAGGGUCGGGAGGAUUCAGUAUCAGGGAAGAAAGUUAAGUUUUUGUGUAGUUUUGGUGGCAAGAUUUUACCUAGACCAAGUGAUGGUAUGUUGAGAUAUGUUGGAGGGCAAACGAGGAUCAUUAGUGUGAGGAGAGAUGUGGGUUUUAAUGAACUAGUACAGAAGAUGGUGGAUACUUAUGGACAACCUGUAGUUAUUAAGUACCAACUUCCUGAUGAGGAUCUUGAUGCAUUGGUGUCAGUUUCGUGCCCUGAUGAUCUCGAUAAUAUGAUGGACGAGUAUGAAGAAAGGUCUUCAGAUGGAUCAGCUAAAUUAAGGGUGUUUUUGUUUUCGGCUUCAGAAUUUGAUCCUUCUGGGAUGGUGCAACUUGGAGAUAUACAUGAUAGUGGGCAACGAUAUGUGGAGGCAGUGAACGGGAUUCCAGAUGGAGGUGCUGGUGGUAUCAUGAGGAAGGAGAGUAUAGCUAGUCAGAGUUCAACACAGAAUUCUGAUUUUAGUGGGACUGAGGCUAUUGAUGCUGUAUGUUCUGGUCCAGUGGAUGUUGGUGGGCCUUCGUCAAGCAGCAUAGUAUCACCAAGGGAGAAUUUCAGUACUUCUUGUGAAAUAGCUCCAGAAAUUGUGUAUGUGGAUCCUAGUAAUGGAUUUUAUGCAGAUGCUUCUGGUGUUUCAUUGGGCAUUCCAGUUGUUAAGUCCAGCCCUCCUCAGACUUUAUCUUCUCAGCCUGAGGUUGAUUCAGAGAGGGCAGCAGCUUUCUCUGUACAGCAGCAACAAAUGGGGGUUGAUCUGCAUCAACCUGGAGGGGAUAUUCCUCCUCCCAGGACAUAUGUGCAAGCUUAUGUGGAUCCUUGUCAAGAGGCUAUAAUUCGUCCUGACUAUCUACAUCUUCCUCCACAGAUGGGGUUCCCCAAUCCUGAACUGUUGGGGCAUGCUGCACCUAUGCUUAAUCAACAGCAGCUUCGUGAUAAUGCACCUGGUCUCCCUUCCCAACAUUUUAUUCCCACGGUGCAUAUGACCAUGGUUCCAACAUCAUCUCAUGCUGGUAUAAGACCAACUAUGAUUCAGCCCUUAAUGCAGCUGCAGCAAACUCAGUUGGAGCGUUGUCCCGAUGAGAGUACUUUGGGGACAAGGCUUGUUCAGUUUCCUGUUGAUCAGAGCUACAAUGUGUACCAGAGCCAGGUUCCCCCUGCAGUAGUUGGAGGAGCUUAUGGUUGGCCUCAAGUUUCUUCAUCAGAGCAUGUUGUCUUUUCUGAUGGAUCUAUGUCUCAUCAACAAGUAAUCAUUCCUCAGAAAAUCCCCAAGUUGGAUGAUUGUCAUAUGUGCCAAAAAGCAUUACCUCAUGCACAUUCAGAUCCUCUGGAAAGAGACAGUGUUACGACCCCCUUAUCUGAUUCAAAUUCAAUCUAUCAUAGUCUUCCCAAGGAAGAUGCAAUGAGAACUCAGCCAGUAAACAGGGUUAUGGUAACUGGAGCCUUGGGGGAAGGUGUUACUGGACAGGGAAGUAUGCCUCAAACGGUAGUCUUCAGUCAAUUGGAUCAUCAGGUUGGAUCACCUCAAUCAGAGGCUGUUGGUCUCCCUCAGAAUGUUGAGGCUCCGCGGGAAAAAGAUCGAAUCCUCCAUCAAAUAGACAAUUCCGACCAUCCUAGGAUUGCAGUGACCCAUGGUGGGAUUGGAGUGGCAGGUGAUGUACAGCCAUCUUACAGUGUGUUCACAGGUGCUUCCACUGUUCCUCAGUCUUGCCAAGAAGAACGUUCAUUGCCACCAAAAUACCAGGUCAAACAAGAGGCUUUACUCAACAAACCUGUUAACAUUGAUGCGCCUAUUGCGGGCCUCACACAUGUAAAAUCUUCAGAACGGCUGACUCAUGAAUCUCCAAAAGAAUAUUCUAGCAAACUUCCUGUUGUCUCUAAAGAAGAUACCAUAAACCCUUGCACAUCAUUUGAACAUAUGAGGCCAAUUGAUGGGGUGAUGGAAUCUCUCCGGGUAUGCCCCAGUGACAAUAUAAAGAAUGAACAGAAUAAUUUACCUGUUGAUAUAAUAAGAAAGGAUUAUAUCUUGGGUAGCAGACCUCAGCAAAUAGUGGGAAGGGAGGUGCUUAUAGAUAAUACCUUUAGCCACCCCCCUUUAGUUCUUGACUCAUAUCAGAAUAAAACAUUUGAAGUGCUGCCUUGUUCCAAUGCAGAAGUUCUACACGUGAAUAAUACUCAACCCAUGGAAUCCUAUGAGGUAGCUCAACCUCCCAUUAUUGGUAAUCCAGGAUUAUAUCAACACUCAAACACUGGAACUCUUCACGUGGAUUCUGGUGAAGUUUGUUUUGUCAACCCUGCAUUCUCUGCUGCUGAACCAGUUCAUUUAGUUGGUAGAAUCCAAAAUGCUGCUGAUUACGAAGCCAUCCUGGCAAAUGUUAAUACAUCGUCUUUAGCACCAUCAAGCAAGGUUGGGGAUGUUCAGGAUUCCUCUAACUCACUGUUUAGCAAUCAGGAUCCUUGGAAUUUACAACAAGAUACUCAUGUUCUUCCACCUAGACCUAACAAGAUUGCAACAAAAAGGGAAGCCUUUCUUCCUGUGGAUCCUUUCAGUGAGAAUCGUUCAGGGAAUACGGGGGAAUUAAUUACAGCUGCACCGUUUGAGGAUGCAGUUCAACAGCCGAGUGAUGCAAACAAGGAUUUCAAUUCAGAGCACACAAGCUCAAAAAAAGGAUCAGCUGAGGAUCUCAUCAAGAAAGAGCUUCAGGCUGUUGCUGAGGGUGUGGCUGCUUCUGUUUUUCAGUCAGCUGCAAAUUCUAACCCAAAGUCAAUGACACGCGAGAAAGAGGAGUCUGUUUAUGAAAGCAAUCAAGAGAGAGAAGCUCAGGAUAAUGAUAUUGAAAUGAUGCACAAAGCAAAACUUGAGGUUAUGAAGAACAAAGCGCCAGAUAAGUUGAGUUUUGGUUUUCCAGCUUCUGAUGUUGGCCGCUUGCAGAUAAUAAAGAAUAGUGACCUUGAGGAGCUGCAGGAACUGGGUUCUGGAACCUUUGGCACAGUUUACCAUGGGAAGUGGAGGGGUACUGAUGUUGCAAUUAAACGGAUCAACGACAGAUGUUUUGCUGGAAAACCUUCAGAACAAGAGCGCAUGAUUGAUGACUUCUGGAAUGAGGCCAGUAAGCUUGCCGAUUUGCACCAUCCUAAUGUGGUGGCAUUCUAUGGUGUUGUGCUCGAUGGCCCUGGACGCUCUGUAGCAACGGUAACAGAGUAUAUGGUUAAUGGUUCUCUAAGAAAUGCUUUGCAAAAGAAUGAGAGGAAUCUAGAUAAACGUAAGCGUCUCUUGAUUGCCAUGGAUGUGGCCUUUGGAAUGGAGUACUUGCAUGGAAAGAAUAUAGUGCACUUUGAUUUAAAAAGUGACAAUUUACUAGUUAAUCUUAGAGAUCCUCACCGACCAAUAUGCAAGUUUUUCAGGUCGUGCUAAUGUAAAUUUGUGAUGCUUUGGCUGUUGACAAUUCAAUUGCACAAUCAGUUAGCUAAAUGAUUCCCAGAAGUUCUUUCGGAACCUUCUCAGUUUUCUCUCAUGACUGUUGACAAUGUUCUCUUUGCUUUGUUCUGUUGUUGGUUACACUGCUAUGUAUUUCUACUGUAAUCACUUCUGAUUUCGCAUAUUGAACACAGAAACGAUUUAGCUCUGUUCUGGUUGUGGUACUAGGUUGGUGAUUUGGGUCUAUCUAAGGUGAAAUGUCAGACUCUGAUAUCAGGCGGUGUUCGGGGAACACUUCCAUGGAUGGCGCCAGAGCUUCUGAAUGGCAGCAGCAGCCUUGUUUCUGAAAAGGUUGAUGUGUUUUCGUUUGGCAUUGUAAUGUGGGAACUUCUUACUGGAGAAGAACCGUAUGCAGAUUUGCACUAUGGAGCAAUUAUUGGUGGUAUCGUGAGCAAUACAUUGCGGCCACCAGUGCCAGAAUCUUGUGAUCCAGAAUGGAGAUCACUGAUGGAGAGAUGCUGGUCAUCUGAGCCAGCAGAGAGACCAAGCUUCACGGAGAUUGCAAAUGAAUUAAGAUCAAUGGCAGCCAAGAUUCCUCCCAAAAGACAAAACCCACCACCACAGCAAGCCUCCUAGGCACAGCCCCAAGUUGAAAAAUAAUUUAUGCCAGUGGCUUUCCUGCUUUUCUUGUUGAAUUCUUUAAAUCUUUCACCAUACAUAGACAUGCUGAGUCUUUGCCUUGAAAUAUAUCCCAGAAAUGAUUUUCUUUUUA